AAGCCAGACUCCUACGGGAGGCAGCAGUGGGGAAUAUUGCACAAUGGGGGAAACCCUGAUGCAGCGACGCCGCGUGAGUGAAGAAGUAUUUCGGUAUGUAAAGCUCUAUCAGCAGGGAAGAUAAUGACGGUACCUGACUAAGAAGCCCCGGCUAACUACGUGCCAGCAGCCGCGGUAAUACGUAGGGGGCAAGCGUUAUCCGGAUUUACUGGGUGUAAAGGGAGCGUAGGUGGCAGGGCAAGUCAGAUGUGAAAACCCGGGGCUCAACCCCGGGAGUGCAUUUGAAACUGUCCAGCUGGAGUGCAGGAGAGGUAAGCGGAAUUCCUAGUGUAGCGGUGAAAUGCAUAGAUAUUAGGAGGAACACCAGUGGCGAAGGCGGCUUACUGGACUGUAACUGACACUGAGGCUCGAAAGCGUGGGGAGCAAACAGGAUUAGAUACCCGUGUA
rnacentral:rRNA from 1 species